UGCAUAUGUUAAACCAUCCCUGCAUCACUGGUAUGAAACCCACUUGAUCAUGGCGUAUUAUCUUCUUGACAUGCUGUUGGAUUCAGUUAGCUAGUGUUUUGUUGAGGAUUUUUGCACCUGUGUUCAUCAGGGAUAUUGGUAUGUGGUUUUCCUUUUUUUCUGCCUAUUCCCAGUUUUAGUAUUAGGGUGAUACUGGCUUCAUAGAAUGAAUUAGGGAAAAUUCUCUCUUUCUCUAUCUUUUUGAAUAGUUUCAGUAAGAUUGAUACUAAUUCUUCUUUGACUGUCUGAUAGAAUUCAGCUGUGAAUACAUCUGGUCCUGGACUUUUUCUUUUGGGCAGUUUUUAAAUUAUUAUUUUAAUCUUGCUACUUGCUAUUGGCCUGUUCAGAGUUUCUAUUUCUUCCUGAUUUAAUCUAGGAGAGUUGUAUAUUUCCAAGAAUUUGCCCAUCUCCUCUAGACUUUCUAGCUUGUCUGCAUAAAGGUGUUCAUAGUAGCCUUCAAUGAUCUUUUGUAUUUCUGUGGUAUUGGUUGCAAUAUCUCCUGUUUCAUUUCUAGUUGAGCUUAUUUGGAUCUUCUCUCUUCUUUUUUUGGUUAAUCUUGUUAAUGGUCUGUCAAUUUUGUUUAUUUGUUCAAAGAACCAGCUUUUCGUUUCAUUUAUCUUUUGUACUCUUGGUUUCAAUUUCAUUUAUUUCUGCUCUGAAAUUUAUUUCAAUUUCAUUUAUUUCUUUGUAUUUAUUUCAUUCUGAAAGGUUUGCGUUUGGUUUGUUCUUGUUUCUCUGGUUCCUUGAAGGGUGACCUUAGAUUGUCUAUGUUGACUUUUUGAUGCCUAGAUUGACUUUUUGAUGUACGCAUUUAAUGCUAUGAACUUUCCUCUUAGCACCACUUUUGCUGUCUUCCAGAGUUAUGUUCCACAUGCUGAUGAAAAUAAUGUAUAUUUUGCCGUUGUUGAGUAGAAUGUUCUGUAAAUAUCUGUUAAGUCCAUUUGUUCUAUGGUGAUAUGGUUUGGCUCUGUGUCCCUACCCAAACCUCACCUUGUAGCUCCCAUAAUUCCCACGUGUUGUGGGAGGCACCCUGUGGGAGAUUAUUGAAUUAUGGGGGUGGGUCUUUCCCGUGCUGUUCCUGUGAUAGUGAAUGGGUCUCAGGCGAUCUGAUGGUUCUGAAAACGGAGUUGCCCUCACAAGCUCUCUUUGCCUGCCACCAUCCAAGUAAGAUGUGACUUGCUCCUCCUUGUCUUCCACCAUGAUUGUGAGGCUUCCUCAGCCAUGUGGAACUGUAAGUCCAAUUAAAUCUCUAUCUUUUGUAAAUUGCCCAGUCUCAGUUAUGUCUUUAUCAGCAGUGUGAAAACAGAAUAAUACAGUAAAUUGGUACUGGUAGAGUGGGGCACCACUGAAAAGAUACCCAAAAAUGUGGAAGUGACUUUGGAACUAGGUAAUAGGCAGAGGUUGCAAGAGUUUGGAGGGCUUGGAAGAAGACAGGAAAAUGUGGAACUUUCUAGAGACUUGUUGAAUAAUGAUAUGGACAAUGAAAUCCAGGCUGAGAUGGUUUCAGAUGGAGAUGAGGAACUUGUUGGGAACUGAAGCAAAGGUGACUCUUGUUAUGUUUUAGCAAAGACACUGGUGGCAUUUUGCCCCUGCCCUAGAGAUUUGUGGGACUUUGAACUUGAGAGAGAUGAUUUAGGGUAUCUGGCGGAAUAAAUUUCUAAGCAGCAAAGCAUUCAAGAGGUGACUUGAGUGCUGUUAAAAGCAUUUAG
rnacentral:lncRNA from 1 species